rnacentral:lncRNA from 1 species
UCCUGAUCAAUCACAUAGCAUGGACAUUGACAUUAGAGGGUAUGUCAUAGAAUCCAUACUAAUAGCAAGCAUAUACAACAUGGCAAACACUAGCGGCCUCCAAAAAAUGAAUUAGAUUCUAUACGGGGAUGUGAAGAAGCGUCCAGAGAUUCGUUACAGAGGGAUGCACCACAUACAACAUGAACCCAAGAAAGCAAGGUGGCACAUGUAACCGUACAAGCAACAUCUUGCAAUACCGUACAAGCAACAUCUUGCAAUACCUGGGUAGCCUCAGCAAAUAGAUACAGAAUGAUGAAGGAGAAGUAGUGCGUAUGGCUAUU